CCACGUCUUUUUCAUAUU
rnacentral:miRNA from 1 species